AAUCUCAAUCCCUCUGGUUCUUCUGGACUGGUUGGAUUGGACUUGGGUGAUUUGCCAGCAAUGGCUCGCCUCAAAUGACUUAGUGGAACAUCCCACAUCAGUGUUAGACGUAAUAAGUUUCGUCUCUCCUUGUGGUGAUGACUGCUCAGAACCUGCCAUCGCGCACUUUUGA
rnacentral:misc_RNA from 1 species